GCGGGCGGACACCGCAUCUUGCUUUUCGUUCCUUUUUGAACAGUUUCUGGAUUUCGGCGAACGUUGGCGGACAUACGGCCGCACCUUGCCAAGGUUGGGGUCGAGGGUUCGAAUCCCUUCGCCCGCUCCA
rnacentral:tRNA from 1 species